rnacentral:rRNA from 1 species
UACGUAGGGGGCUAGCGUUGUCCGGAAUCAUUGGGCGUAAAGCGCGUGUAGGCGGUUCGGUAAGUCCGCUGUGAAAGUCGGGGGCUCAACCCUCGAAAGCCGGUGGAUACUGUCGGGCUAGAGUACGGAAGAGGCGAGUGGAAUUCCUGGUGUAGCGGUGAAAUGCGUAGAGAUCCGGAGGAACCCCAGAGGCGAAGGCGGC